CAGGUUGUUUCAGUCCACUGAGCGAUGUGCAGAAAUAAUUACUAAAUCUAAUUGCAACUUUUUACUGAAAAAACACAAAGAAAACAUUUGUAUAUUUACAGAGAAGUUCUAUUUCCAAAAGAGCUGCACCCAAGGUAACCAUCAUUUAGCAUUUUUAGUGAGAUGCUUUUGUUUAACACUGCAAAUUUAGGUCCUAUUUAAUAACACCUAGUUACCAUGUCGCUCUGUAAUAUUUCUUUUCCUAGGAUGGUGAUGGAAGGCAUGACCUGCACUACUCUGCCCCUGAUUGGCUUUCCCUGUUAUUCUUAUCCUUACCCCAACCAAUCCAACCAACAAAGGCAGCAGGUACUAGCCAAUCAGAGGCAGAAUAAGGCGGGACAUUCCUUUACCAGCCUGGGAAACUUGUCCCUCCCCGUCUAGUGGACCACCAUGGGACCUUAUAGUAUAAAAAAUAUGAACGGUAGUGAACGGAGAGA